AGCUUUUUUUCCAGUAAGUAUCAUUAAAGCUUCAAAUAGGACCUGAUAGUUCAUGCACAUUUGUUGGAUGGAUGUUGAUGAGAAGGAGUGAAUUUAAAGCCACAGUGACUUACUAAUUUUAUAUUAUUUUAUGUUGGAGGGCUGACUUCUUAUGACAUCUUCGUCUGUCUGCUGCAACUUACUGGUAUGCUCAGUUAUGUUUCCAGGUAGCCCAGGAUGCUAGUCUUUUGUUUUGUGCCCUUGGUCUGUUUUUUAUUCUUUUAGGCAAAUGUUUGAUUUCCAUCACUAUCCUCUGAUUAUGUGCCAUACAAACAACUGAGACAAUUGUCCUGGAGACAUUAUCUUUGGAGCAGAAGCUAUCUGGUUGCCACAGGGGCUCAGGUGUGGAGCACAUCACUGAGGUGUGAUGACAUCCCCAUAGAAAGAUGACCAAUAACAGUGGCAAUUGUGGAAAUACUUACCUUAUUUCAGUGUCCAUUCACUUAAAUUGAAGCAAUUGACUUGGACAGUAUACAAAUAAAGAAUGAAGGUGUAUACAGGGCCCUGUGGAAGCAGAGAAGUUCAUAAUACUACAAGCAAACACUUUCCUUUCACCUAAACCCUCAACUCCAUGAGCUGUUACUAUGGCAACUAUUAUGGUGGUCUGGGCUAUGGCUUUGGUGGCCUGGGCUGUGGUUAUGGCUACUAUCCAAGUCUGGGCUGUGGUUAUGAUCACUAUGGAUAUGGCCACUACCAUCCAUGCUACUAUGGAAGAUACUGGCCCUCAGGCUUCUGCUGAGAAACCUUGCACACCUCCUUGCAUGUGACUGAAGACUUUCAGCUAAUCUUCCUCUUGCAGAUUCUAUCAUCUGGACACUUCAUUCUACCAGUGUCUUUCUCCAAUUUAAUGAUGAAUGAAUCCUAGGUUACUUUGACAGACCUUCAGAUUUCAGCAUGCCAAAAUUUAUUUGAUUAAAGUCAUCUGAACUUGCAAUUCUAAUUUUUGGGUUGGAAAGACAUUUACAAUUUGGGUAACAAUUCUUCUUUUGGAUACCUUUUUUGGCAGGACUGUCAUUCCAAACUGUUCAUGUGAGCUAUGUCAAAAUUAAGUUUGCAUUAAACUUCUUUUGGCAU